AGGAGUGGUAGAGGGGAAAUCAGAAGGCUCGAUUAACGCGCGUACUCUUCUCGAUCGGCAGUUCUUCCGCACCGUCCACACGAUCGGCGGAGUAGCGAAGAACCAGACGGCCGGAAGUCUCGGCGCCUCCGCAGACACACCAGAUCCCGGUAUCGAGAUAGACGAGCGCUCGGCAGGACAGUCUACGCCUUCCAGGAGCUUCGUGGAAAGCGAACGGAGGAUCUCCCCUCGGAUUGGGAACGGAGGAGCAACGAGCUUGAGCUCGGAGGAGGAGGAUCAGCGGAGAGCAGACACUUCGC
rnacentral:lncRNA from 1 species